UAAACAGCACUGAUAGGGAUUAGUAAAUGAUCAUUACGUGUAUAGAGAGUGACUCCACCGGCUGAAAGAGUCAUCACCUCUAAUGACAUAGAACCUGCCCUUGAGCUAGUCAGCUUUCUAAUUUGUAUGUUAUUAAGCUUGACCGUUCCCCACGAUACGGGUAAGAGUGGGCAAUAUUGCCAACUAAGGUGGUACCGCGGAACUAAGCUCUUCCGUCCUUAUU
rnacentral:ncRNA from 1 species